rnacentral:rRNA from 1 species
UACGAAGGGGGCUAGCGUUGCUCGGAAUCACUUGGGCGUAAAGCGCGUGGUAGGCGGCUUCUAAGUCAGGGGUGAAAUCCUGGAGCUCAACGUCCAGAACUGCCUUUGAUACUGGAAAGCUUGAGUUCGAGAGAGGUGAGUGGAACUGCGAGUGUAGAGGUGAAAUUCGUAGAUAUUCGCAAGAACACCAGUGGCGAAGGCGGCUCACUGGCUCGAUACUGACGCUGAGGUGCGAAAGCGUGGGGAGCAAACAGG